UCCUGAAAAUGCAAAUAUUGGAACGGGUAUUUAUCGCCGCUCAACGCGGCCACCGAUCGAUUAUCAUCGAUUAUGAUUUACUUUAGUUAAUUUUAUACCUCGUAUGACUCGUAAUUUUGGUAAUUAUAUUGGAUAUUCGAGUGUAUGUUUUGAGGAAAUGUUGUGUAGACGUUUGUGACGGGAGUGAAGAAUAUUCGUAGUGACGGUGAGUAAAUGUUCGAAAAUAUAUACGUUUGAAAGAAAAUCUUGGAUUAUCUAGAGUUUCGAAAAUAAUUGGCAAUACUCGUUAUAUUGAUAUUGUUUAUAUAGGAAAAUAAAACAGUCACAGUAAUUUCAAAAUGGAAAAUUUUAAUCCAAAUAAAUGCGAAUUUACAAAGAGAAGAUGUUAAAUCGAAGCAAUUGAUUAAUGAACAUGAUCAUGGUAUCUUGCAACAGUUAUUAUAUAGUUAUUAUACAUUCUAUCGAUUGGAAGUCACAACUACCAAACAUUUGAGGUUUUUUAAUUCUAUUCAAUCACUAUAAUACUACGAAGUUUCGCCGAACACAAUUGAUGAAUUGAUUGAAUUCAAGAUACAUUUAAUAAAUUAGAGAGAGAUACUCUUGAUAACAUUACAAACGUGUAUGGAAUUAAUUAUGUCGACAAGAGGAGGAAAUUCCUAUAAAAUUCGUCGUAUAAAUAAGUUUUUCGCAUAAAUGUAUAUUAUAUUUUCGGACAAAGGGAGUAUAAGAUAACGAAGAAAUUAUUGAGAAAACAAAACGAAUAUUGUUCGUAUAUAAAUUUGGAUGAAUAAUAAAUAUUCGUACGAUUCAAAUCUGGAAAAAGCAAAAUUUUAUUUAAAAUUACGCUUUUGUAAAAAUGAUAAAGCUACAAAAUUUAAAAAAUAAUUGCGAUGAAAUCUAAAAAUCGAAGAAUUUAAAAAUAAUUUGAUAUUUAAUUUGUAAUCAUAACUUGUAAUUAAAUCGAUAUACGAAUAUUUUCUACAACUGAUAAUGGAUAAAGACAGAAUUACACACUGUAAAUAAGACUUAUUUGAUAUUUAUUAAAUUUCUUCCAAUUCAUUUCUCUUUGUAACGUAACAAAGAUCCGUAUUUGAUAAAUUGUUAAAUAUAAAAAAAAAAGGAUAUUACUACAUAAAUCAUUUAACAACAUCGAUCUUCUUCACACACAAUUAAAUGUCCGUCUCAUUUAUAACUAAAAAGCACACCGCUUCCUCCACCACAUCCAAUUAAUCGAAAAGCGAACAAUCAAACUAAUGAAAUCAGGGAUUGAAUAUAUAAUAAUUUUAAAUUUACAAAUAGAUCGAAUUAAAACAAGAGGAAUAAGAAUGAUCGACAAAAACAGUACGAAUACCCGGCUUGUAUUUGCCUUUCGGCCUUUAAGCCUCUACUCGGGUCUCCAUCCUCUAGCCCAUUGUCCAAAGCUUGGCCAGUGAAAACACCGUGUCGAGAAAGUUUUGGAAACACCGUGGCCGUAGUUGGAAGGUAACUAAGGGCCGGUGGUUGUAAAUUCGUUACUAGUUGAAUAUUCCUAGGCGCUUCUGUUGUCAAUACACCGUUGGUCAAAUGUGCAACCGUCACCUAAAUUGGAUAGUUUUUCCCCCUGUGCUCAGUGUGAAUUUAUUAUGCUGCCACUUUUCACUUUUUAUUUUCUAGUAAAUUUUAUCGUAUGUAGUUUUUAUUUUGAGAGUAAAGAUUUUUUUGAGGAGGGGGACGGAGGGAGGGUAUUUUUUUUGUAGUGUGAUUGGAAGGAAAAAAAUUUUUAUUGUAUAAAAAUUGGAUAAAAUUUUAGAUACGAAAUAGCAGAGACCAAAGUUUAUUAUUAUUCGUCGAAUUUUUAUUAAAUUUGUAUUAAAAUAGUUAUCAAUCAUAAAAAUUGUUGUAAGAAUGUAUAGCUUUUUUUACAUAAUUGAAAGAUUGUUUGAAAAUGAACUUCUCUUGCUAGAAAAUCUUAAAUUUUUCAUUAUAAAUGAACUAAGUGAUUUUUAUCCAAAUCUAAUUUUUAUCUUUUUAGAUCUUUUUUAAAAAAUCUAGAAAAAUUCUGAGAUAAUUAUAUUUUGAAAAAAAUACUAUUUCACAUAAAUGGUACACUAACUACGUAUGUAUAAGAGAUACCUAAUAAUCUUUAGUAUAAGAAUAAAGUUAAACAAUGUAUG